AUUGAACGCUGGCGGCAGGCCUAACACAUGCAAGUCGAGCGGAUGAAGGGAGCUUGCUCCUGGAUUCAGCGGCGGACGGGUGAGUAAUGCCUAGGAAUCUGCCUGGUAGUGGGGGAUAACGUCCGGACACGGGCGCUAAUACCGCAUACGUCCUGAGGGAGAAAGUGGGGGAUCUUCGGACCUCACGCUAUCAGAUGAGCCUAUGUCGGAUUAACUAGUUGGUGUGGUAAAGGCCUACCAAGGCGACGAUCCGUAACUGGUCUGAGAGGAUGAUCAGUCACACUGGAACUGAGAAAAGGUCCAGACGCCUAAGGGAGGCAGCAGUGGGGAAUAUUGGACAAUGGGCGAAAGCCUGAUCCAGACAUGCAGCGUGUGUGAAGAAGGUAUUCGGAUUGUAAAGCACUUUAAGUUGGGAGGAAGAGCAGAAAGUUAAUACCUUGCUGUUUUGACGGUACCAACAGAAUAAGCACCGGCUAACUUCGUG
rnacentral:rRNA from 1 species